GAUCCUGGCUCAGGAUGAACGCUGGCGGCGUGCCUAACACAUUCAAGUCGAACGAACUGUAGAAAUACAGUGAGUGGCGGACGGGUGAGUAACGCGUAAGCAAUCUGCCUUUGUGUGUGGAAUAACAACCGGAAACAGUUGCUAAUACCGCAUAACGCAGAGAGAUCGCAUGGUCUUUCUGCCAAAGAUUUAUCGCACAAAGAUGGGCUUGCGUCCGAUUAGAUAGUUGGCGGGGUAACGGCCCACCAAGUCAACGAUCGGUAGCCGGACUGAGAGGUUGAACGGCCACAUUGGAACUGAGAUACGGUCCAGACUCCUACGGGAGGCAGCAGUGGGGAAUAUUGGGCAAUGGACGAAAGUCUGACCCAAGCGACGCCGCGUGAGGGAAGAAGGUCUUCGGAUUGUAAACCUUAGUCAACAGGGACGAAGCAAGUGACGGUACCUGUGGAGGAAGCCACGGCUAACUACGUGCCAGCAGCUGC
rnacentral:rRNA from 1 species